rnacentral:lncRNA from 1 species
GUUGAACCUCCGGAAGUUAACUUUGACUGUUGCUGUCCAGGUUUCUUAAUAGCAGAAGAUUGCUGCACAAAACCUGGAGAUGCAGACAAAAAAGUUCCCUGUGCAGUCCGCUUAUUUGGCAUUGAUGACACCUGAGGUGUAGAACCAUGCGGCAUUGAUGACAUCUCAGCCUUCCGCUUGGUGAGUACUGAUGAUUUCUGCACACCUGGACUAUUUGGCACAUAUCUAUCUCCUCUGGUCUGCUGAUGUGACAACAUGAAGUGCUGAGGGUUCAUUCUGGGUCCCAUUGG